AGAGAAAGAGAAGGAAGGAAAUGGAAGGAUGGUGACCCUUCAGACGAGGGAAGGACAUCGUGAUGGUACCUGGAAUAUCCGAUCAGUUAUUCCCCCAGUUCGGAUUCCCAGUGGCUUGCAUCAAUACCAAAUAAACAUUAUGCAACGAGAUCAAGACCGAAUAAAUCACUAUAUUAAGCACUAUAUUAAGCACAGAGAAAGGGAAGGAAGGAAAUGGAAGGAUGGUGAUCCUUCAGACGAGGGAAGGACAUCGUGAUGGUACCUGGAAUAUCCGAUCAGUUAUUCCCCCAGUUCGGAUUCCCAGUGGCUUGCAUCAAUACCAAAUAAACAUUAUGCAACGAGAUCAAGACCGAAUAAAUCACUAUAUUAAGCACUAUAUUAAGCACAGAGAAAGGGAAGGAAGGAAAUGGAAGGAUGGUGAUCCUUCAGACGAGGGAAGGACAUCGUGAUGGUACCUGGAAUAUCCGAUCAGUUAUUCCCCCAGUUCGGAUUCCCAGUGGCUUGCAUCAAUACCAAAUAAACAUUAUGCAACGAGAUCAAGACCGAAUAAAUCACUAUAUUAAGCACUAUAUUAAGCACAGAGAAAGGGAAGGAAGGAAAUGGAAGGAUGGUGAUCCUUCAGACGAAGGAAGGACAUCGUGAUGGUACCUGGAAUAUCCGAUCAGUUAUUCCCUCAGUUCGGAUUCCCAGUGGCUUGCAUCAAUACCAAAUAAACAUUAUGCAACGAGAUCAAGACCGAAUAAAUCACUAUAUUAAGCACUAUAUUAAGCACAGAGAAAGGGAAGGAAGGAAAUGGAAGGAUGGUGAUCCUUCAGACGAGGGAAGGACAUCGUGAUGGUACCUGGAAUAUCCGAUCAGUUAUUCCCUCAGUUCGGAUAUACAGUGGCUCGCAUCAAUAUUAAUAAUCACCAUAUUAAGCACUAUAUUAAGCACAGAGAAAGAGAAGGAAGGAAAUGGAAGGAUGGUGACCCUUCAGACGAGGGAAGGACAUCGUGAUGGUACCUGGAAUAUCCGAUCAGUUAUUCCCCCAGUUCGGAUUCCCAGUGGCUUGCAUCAAUACCAAAAAAACAUUAUGCAACGAGAUCAAAACCGAAUAAAUCACUAUAUUAAGCACUAUAUUAAGCACAGAGAAAGGGAAGGAAGGAAAUGGAAGGAUGGUGAUCCUUCACACGAAGGAAGGACAUCGUGAUGGUACCUGGAAU